GGAUUUCUGCCUCAGUAUCCCCACCUGGAGUUCCGGGUCUCGGCCCUCAUCAGCUGCUGCCUCCCAGCCCUGCAGCCUCACACUGGAUCUUGCUGGUCCUCCCCUGAGUUCUGUUCCUGGUGUCCUCCUGCCACUGCUCUGGGUCCUGCUGGCUUCAGUCCUGCUGGUCCUGAUUUUCUUUCCCCUGUCAGUGCUCCAGUUGCCGGCACCAUCUCGACCCUGAGAGUGUCGUGUCCCUGUUAGUUUCUGCGUUGGUCCAUCUACCAGCUGGCUUGUGUGGCUGAGCCAGUGUAUUCCUUUCCCACGACCCCAUCCCCUCUGGUCCUGGCUGCAUCCUGUCAGCCCCUGUGCUCAGCAUUCUCCACAAACCGGAACUCCUCCAGGCUUCCCACAUGAGGGCUGAUCCUUCUGCCUUCAGCUCUAAGUGAGAUACUCCCAAGAAGUACUUUGGCUGCAAACAACACAAAACCCAAUUGUCAACAACUUAAUAGGGGAUUCUUCUUUUCAUGCAACAAGAUGUCUAGAGCCCAAGACAAAGGCUGUGUGCAAUGACUUGCGGUGAUGAUCGAAGGAAGCAGACAAAUAAAAAAGGAAAGAAAGCUGCUAAGGAAGCCACACUGACAAACUCAAAAUAAAGUGACCACUGAUAAGCAACAGAGGAGGCAAAAAACCCAAACAGCAAUGAUGAAAAAAACCUUAAAAAAAGUCAUAAACAUGCAAAAGAAUAUUGGUGUUUUAU
ensembl:lncRNA